UUUUAAUUAUUAUUAUUAUUAUUAUUUUUUUCUUCCGCCAAAUUUUGUUCUUGCGAUAAAUGUUUGUUUCGCAAUAUGUCGCUUAGAUAUUUCUCAUAUUGUAUCGUAUAGUUUAUGCGCUUUUAAAUUUCACCCUGCUAAGGCGAACCAUUUUCUAUGUAAGAGUUAUCUCCCUUUUCACUGUUUAUCCUCUGUGUGCAUCUCCUUCGUAACAAAAUAAGAAAGCGACAAAAUUCUUUUUACAAACUGUUCGUUACAUCCUCAGUAAUUUUUGGCGUAUUUGGAUCGAAGCGAUUCGAUGAAAUUUUAUAGGAGUUAUCUACCUUUACGGAAUAAAUUUGUCGGUAUGUUUUUUAAACUCAUAAACCGUUAACCGUAUAACCCUGGAAUGUUUUUAUUUGAGUCCCCUGGGUCCUAACUUAGAAAAUUAGGUCAAGGUCAAAGGUCAAGGUCAUAUUUUAGAUUUUC
rnacentral:lncRNA from 1 species